CAGCAUAAAGUCAGCAAAAAAAAAAAGCUAUGACGGGACGACACCGAGAGAAUCAAUAUUCCCAAAUCCCAAAAGGCCAAAAACCAUACUCCUGGUUUUUAGCCUUUUAGUUCACGCCCAAACGCAAAAGAGAGGGCGGGGCGUCCAGGUUCAAUGCAUGUACACACGAUCCCUCUCGCUUCCUCUGCAGUGUGACCAGACCUGUGACCUGUCGCUGCAAUGCAGGUCAUCUCUUUCAAAACCCACACGACAUCCAUGUUUCAAAGCCACCAGGUCCAAAUUCCAGCAGCUCUGAGCUGUAGAAAAACAGCUUUGGGGCAAUGGAGAAGAGGGGUAUUUGUAGUAUAAGUACCUAAGCAGCUAAUAGCUGAAGAUGCAUCGAGGACUGUUCUCUUCUUCCUCAAGCCGUAGCCUGUGGGAGGAGAGGCCGGAAACCUCGCAUGGAGUUCCCCCAUUCACUUCUUGGUCCCCUGUUCGUUCCCUCAGGUAGAGAGGAUCUUGCUUUUUGUUCUGAUUUCUUCCUCGUGUAAGCUCGCAUGCGUGGGAAGAUGGAUUUGUCUCUGAUCGUCCUCACGCCUCUUGUGUUUUGAUUUGGAUCAAUGCAAAUAAAUCAUCGAUGAGUGACGGUCGUGUAAGCUCGCAUGCGUGGGAAGCUGCAUGUGUUUCUUGAAGUUCUGAACUUCGCUAGCUAUUUGAUCAGCAAUUCUUGUCUACUGUAUGUAUAUGAUUGUGAUCCAUCGCCUGUAUAAAUGCAAAUAUUGCGACUUCUACUUCCAGUUCAUGGGUUCCAAAGUUUUCUUGAUGCUGAUAUCGAAAGAUACACUCAUGUUGUCUUGUUUUUUAAGUACAAAACUUGGAUCCUGCUUUUUGUUUCAAUGCCGACUUGUAGAUGUGGACCGAAUUAUUUUAGAACACGCAUUAGAACAAAGACUAACUAUCCAAGCUGUAAAAUUUCUAUGAUUUUUUCCAAUAUAAUGCAAGCUAGCUCCGGUAGCUACUAUGGUUAUGGCAAACAGAACACGGCACAUCUGAUCAAAGAUCCAAAGCACCGUACAGGCACGGUUUCCUAACAUAAUCUAUAAACUACUCGCC
rnacentral:lncRNA from 1 species